CUUGGAAAGAAAGUGGGGGGGGGCCAGAUGAGCACCCUCAAGGGUCCACUUCCAGGGUCUUUAAAGGAGGCCUCAUCUCCCUCAGGCCCCUGGAAACCACCACGCUGCUCCCUGUCUCCAUGGAUUUGCCGGAUCUGGACAUUCUGUAUCCCCUCAAGCCAAAGUGCACAGAAGGAAACAGAAACACAAGAAGGAAAGCUUUCUGCUUGGGCCACUGGCCAUGCUUGAGGAAAUCUGAUCCCUCCUGCAGCCACAUUCUAUUCCCAAGUUGCCAUAGUACUUCCUGUAAUUAAUGGCUAGGUUUUAAUUAAACAUUGAUUAGCCCCUAAUUAGUCUAAUGAUUAGUCUGGGGGAGGAGACAGGACUGUCAAACCCCAUAAAGGAGGCGGGGGAGAUAAUGAAAGAUUAUGGCUUAGGUGAAAAUGCUAUUUCUCCCUCCCUCCAGG
ensembl:lncRNA